UACAGAGGGGGCAAGCGUUGUUCGGAAUUACUGGGCGUAAAGGGCGCGUAGGCGGCCUGCUAAGUCACACGUGAAAUCCCUCGGCUCAACCGGGGAACUGCGUGUGAUACUGGCGGGCUUGAAUUCGGGAGAGGGAUGUGGAAUUCCAGGUGUAGCGGUGAAAUGCGUAGAUAUCUGGAGGAACACCGGUGGCGAAGGCGGCAUCCUGGACCGAGAUUGACGCUGAGGCGCGGAAAGCUAGGGGAGCAAACGGGG
rnacentral:rRNA from 1 species